rnacentral:tRNA from 1 species
GGCCAGUUAGCUCACUCGGUUAGAGAGUGAUGCUGAUAACCCCAAGGUCGCGGGUUCGAUUCCCGUUCGGUCCC